GACGAACGCUGGCGGCGUGCUUAACACAUGCAAGUCGAACGGAAAGGCCCUGCUUGCCGGGUACUCGAGUGGCGAACGGGUGAGUAACACGUGGGUGAUCUGCCCUGCACUUCGGGAUAAGCCUGGGAAACUGGGUCUAAUACCGGAUAGGAGCCAUUUUUAGUGUGAUGGUUGGAAAGUUUUUUCGGUGUAGGAUGAGCUCGCGGCCUAUCAGCUUGUUGGUGGGGUAAUGGCCUACCAAGGCGGCGACGGGUAGCCGGCCUGAGAGGGUGGACGGCCACAUUGGGACUGAGAUCCGGCCCAGACCCCUCGGGGGGGAGGCAGGGGGGAAUGUGGAACAAGGGGCGCAAGCCGGUUGCGGGGCGGCCGGGGGGGGGUGGCUGCCCUUGGGGUUUAAACCCCUUUUCCCUAGGGACGAAGCUUUUUGUGACGGUACCUAAAAAAGAAGCCCCGGCUAACUACGUC
rnacentral:rRNA from 1 species